AAAGAUACUGUGCUCUCUGGAGCAAUCAUCUGUUGGCUCCAGACUGUUACAUCUCUCACUGUUACACCCAUUCACUUUUCUCCUGCAUUUUGAUGGCAUAUGAGAUUUGGAGAUUUUGGAGAAGGGGCAGAAGAAGAAAGAGAUGCUGGAUGCCAUGCCCUGCUUACAGGCUCCCAGAGCAGUGGUCACAGCCCCAAGCCUGCCAGAGCUCAAAAAUGUUUGGACAAAGCUCUCGGGCACAAGUUGUGACUCUUGGGGAUGGUUCUGAGCAGGGCCAGGAGUUGGACUCAAUGAUCCUUGUGGGUCCUU